AUACGUAGGUGGCAAGCGUUGUCCGGAUUUAUUGGGCGUAAAGCGAGCGCAGGCGGUUUCUUAAGUCUGAUGUGAAAGCCCCCGGCUCAACCGGGGAGGGUCAUUGGAAACUGGGAGACUUGAGUGCAGAAGAGGAGAGUGGAAUUCCAUGUGUAGCGGUGAAAUGCGUAGAUAUAUGGAGGAACACCAGUGGCGAAGGCGACUCUCUGGUCUGUAACUGACGCUGAGGCUCGAAAGCGUGGGGAGCAAACAGGAUUAGAUACCCUGGUAGUCCACGCCGUAAACGACGAGUGCUAAGUGUUGGAGGGUUUCCGCCCUUCAGUGCUGCAGCUAACGCAUUAAGCACUCCGCCUGGGGAGUACGGCCGCAAGGCUGAAACUCAAAUGAAUUGACGGGG
rnacentral:rRNA from 1 species